AUACGGAGGAUCCGAGCGUUAUCCGGAUUUAUUGGGUUUAAAGGGUGCGCAGGCGGCCAUUUAAGUCAGCGGUUAAAUCGUGGGGCUCAACCCCAUUCUGCCGUUGAUACUGGGUGGCUUGAUUGCGGUCGAGGUUGGCGGAAUUCGUUGUGUAGCGGUGAAAUGCAUAGAUAUGACGAAGAACACCGAUUGCGUAGGCAGCUGACCAGACCGCAAAUGACGCUCAUGCACGAAAGUGCGGGGAUCGAACAGGAUUAGAUACCCUGGUAGUCCGCACAGUAAACGAUGAAUACUUCUUUUCGGCGAUAUAAUGUCGGAGGCAAAGCGAAAGCGAUAAGUAUUCCACCUGGGGAGUACGCCGGCAACGGUGAAACUCAAAUGAAUUGACGGGG
rnacentral:rRNA from 1 species